rnacentral:rRNA from 1 species
GUAGGUGGCAAGCGUUGUCCGGAAUUAUUGGGCGUAAAGCGCGCGCGGGCGGUCCUUUAAGUCUGAUGUGAAAGCCCACGGCUCAACCGUGGAGGGUCAUUGGAAACUGGGGGACUUGAGUACAGAAGAGGAAAGCGGAAUUCCAAGUGUAGCGGUGAAAUGCGUAGAGAUUUGGAGGAACACCAGUGGCGAAGGCGGCUUUCUGGUCUGUAACUGACGCUGAGGCGCGAAAGCGUGGGGAGCAAACAGGAUUAGAUACCCUGGUAGUCCACGCCGUAAACGAUGAGUGCUAAGUGUUAGGGGGUUUCCCGCCCCCCUUAGUGCUGCAGCUAACGCAUUAAGCACUCCGCCUGGGGAGUACGGCCGCAAGGCUG